rnacentral:rRNA from 1 species
AGAGUUUGAUCCUGGCUCAGAGCGAACGCUGGCGGCAGGCCUAACACAUGCAAGUCGAGCGCCCGUAGCAAUACGGGAGCGGCAGACGGGAGAGUAACACGUGGGAACGCGCCCUUCGGUUCGGAAUAACUCAGGGAAACUUGAGCUAAUACCGGAUACGCCCUUACGGGGAAAGAUUUAUUGCCGAAGGAACGGCCCGCGUCCGAUUAGCUAGUUGGUGAGGUAAUGGCUCACCAAGGCGACGAUCGGUAGCUGGUCUGAGAGGAUGACCAGCCUCACUGGGACUGAGACACGGCCCAGACUCCUACGGGAGGCAGCAGUGGGGAAUAUUGGACAAUGGGCGCAAGCCUGAUCCAGCCAUGCCGCGUGGAUGAUGAA